rnacentral:rRNA from 1 species
CCCUUAGAUGUUCUGGGCCGCACGCGCGCUACACUGAUGCAUUCAACGAGUCUAAAACCUGGUCUGAGAGGGCUGGGUAAUCUUUUGAAAGUGCAUCGUGAUUGGGAUAGAUGAUUGCAAUUCUUCAUCUUCAACGAGGAAUGCCUAGUAAACGCAAGUCAUCAGCUUGCAUUGAUUACGUCCCUGCCCUUUGUACACACCGCCCGUCGCUCCUACCGAUUGAACGAUCCGAUGAAAACUGUGGAUUGAGAGUCUGAGUGGGUUCGCCUACCUCAACUUUUGAGAAGCGGUUUAAAUCUUAUCGUUUAGAGGAAGGAGAAGUCGUAACA